rnacentral:rRNA from 1 species
CUACGGGAUGCUGCAGUGAGGAAUAUUGCACAAUGGGGGGAACCCUGAUGCAGCAACGCCGCGUGGAGGAUGACGCAUUUCGGUGUGUAAACUCCUUUUAUAUGUCAAGAAAAUGACGGUAGCAUAUGAAUAAGCACCGGCUAACUCCGUGCCAGCAGCCGCGGUAAUACGGAGGGUGCAAGCGUUACUCGGAAUCACUGGGCGUAAAGGACGCGUAGGCGGGUUGGAAAGUCAGGUGUGAAAUCCUACAGCUUAACUGUAGAACUGCACUUGAAACUUCUAAUCUAGAGUAUGGGAGGGGGAGAUGGAAUUAGUGGUGUAGGGGUAAAAUCCGUAGAUAUCACUAGGAAUACCUAAAGCGAAGGCGAUCUCCUGGAACAUUACUGACGCUAAGGCGUGGGGAGCAAACAGGAUUAGAUACCCGGGUAGUC